rnacentral:rRNA from 1 species
CCUGCCCCUGAAAAUUUUAAUGGCCGCAGUAAUUUGACUGUGCAAAGGUAGCAUAAUCAUUAGUUUUUUAAUUAAAAGCUUGUAUGAAGGGUUGGACGAGAUAAAAUCUGUCUUUAUUUAAAUAAUAUAUAAUUUAAUUUUUAAGUUAAAAAGCUUAAAUUUUUAUAAAAGACGAGAAGACCCUAUAGAUCUUUAUAUUAUUAUAUUAUAAUUUUGUUUAAGAAUUUUAAUUUUUUUUUAUUUUAUAUAAUAUUUUAUUGGGGUAAUAAAAAGAUAAAAAAAAUUCUUUUUAAUAUUUAACAUUAAUUAAUGAAUUUAUGAUCCAAAUAUUUUGAUUAUAAGAUUAAGUUACCUUAGGGAUAACAGCGUAAUUUUUUUAGAGAGUUCAUAUCGAUAAAAAAGUUUGCGACCUCGAUGUUGGAUUAAAAAUUGUUUUAGGCGCAGAAGUUUAAAAAUUUGGUCUGUUCGACCAUUAAAUUUUUACAUGAUCUGAGUUCAGACCGGUGUAAGCCAGGUCGGUUUCUAUCUUUAUUUAUUUAAAAUAUUUUAGUACGAAAGGACCAAAUAUUUAAUAUAUUAAUAUUUAAAUUUUUGAAUAUUAUUAAAAAAU